UACGUAGGGCGCAAGCGUUGUCCGGAAUUAUUGGGCGUAAAGAGCUCGUAGGCGGCUUGUUGCGUCGGAUGUGAAAGCCCGGGGCUUAACCCCGGGUCUGCAUUCGAUACGGGCAGGCUAGAGUUCGGUAGGGGAGAUCGGAAUUCCUGGUGUAGCGGUGAAAUGCGCAGAUAUCAGGAGGAACACCGGUGGCGAAGGCGGAUCUCUGGGCCGAUACUGACGCUGAGGAGCGAAAGCGUGGGGAGCGAACAGG
rnacentral:rRNA from 1 species